UCGGACGUCGUGCACGGUGCACACCUGCCCUUCUUGCUCGGGAGGAAGCUUUGGAGUCAAGCAGGUGGCCUGGGUUCAACUCCCAGCGUCCGGA